GAAUAGGAAUAGGAAUAGGAAUAGGAAUAGGAAUAGGAAUAGGAAUAGGAAUAGGAAUAGGAAUAGGAAUAUACAAAGCGACCUGAAAGAAUCAUCCAGUUCAACUUCAUGACCACUUCAGGGCUGACCAAAACCUAUAACAUAUUGUUAAGCACACUGUCCAAAUGCCUCUUAAACACUGACAAGCUGGGAGCAUUGACCAUCUUUCUAGGAAGCCUGUUUCAGUGCUUGACAAUCUUCUUGAAUUGUGGGGCACAGAAAUGCACUGAGCACUCCAGGUGAGCCUGCACAGCCCUGACAACAGGGGAUAAUCCCCUCCCUUGUGGCUGGCAGUGCCAUGCUCGAGGCUCCUGGGAUGCUGUUUGCCCUCCAGGCUGCCAGGGCACACUGUGGCCUCACCCUGAGCCUGAUGUUGACAACUGCUUCCCCAUGAUAAUUCCCACAACAUUUCUAUAGGUAAGCUCCUCAUUAUUUCCAAAGAUCUUUCACUGGCAUCUUGCAAACUGGAGGAAAAUGAGUAAUGGGUAUACCACAACCUCUGGGAAUCUUCAGACCAAAACCACCAAUAAUCAUGGCCAUUAACAUCUUUGAACAUAAUGCUAUUUAAUAUCUUUAAUAUCUUUGGGAGAUUAUAUGAAUUAAUAGGUCCUUAGGGGGAAGAUACUAAACCUAAAAAAAGUCCAUGGCAAGUACUCAAAAUCUACAUAGGCACUACUCAAAAAUCAAACUGUUAAAGAGCCAUCAGCAGUAGCCGUGUGUGUAGAAAGACAUAGACAUUAAAAUAAAUACCUACAUGUUUAAGUUAAAAUGGCAUUGUGAUUCUUUUGUUCCAAAGCAGAGAAAAAGUCAAGCAAAUAAUAUUUUUCUUCGCAAUUUCCUGUAUGAACACUCUGCACAGACUUUUUUUCCAGUAGACUGAAAAUAAAACUGAUGUAAAUAUUCCAGGUGUGCAGCAAGGGGUCUGCUUUUCUGUCUUCCAGGAAAAAUAUUGUAUUUUCCAAAUACUUUAAAGAUCUUCUUUGGAUAUGUAUGUGGUUUUUUUUCAAAUGGGAUUUUCAACAGAAUAUCAAGGGAAAUUUCCACUGCAUUGUGUUGUACACAGAAAGUAUUCAAAGUAAAACGGUUUAAAAAUGCUGGAAAAUGGUGGCAAGGGCAGUGUUUGAAAGGAAUUCAUUCUGUUCCUGCUGAGUCAGUGGUGUCUGACUGCUUCUAAGAGCCCCUCUGUCCCCAGACUCACCUAGCUAGGGAAAACAUUACAGCACAGCUGCCUUACCAAAAUGGAGUGGGAAGUGUCACUCUGCCCACUCUGGCUCCAGCCAUAACCAGGAAUGGGGAGCAAACUCAACUUUCCCAAUUCUUGUUCCCCUUUUCCUUUCCAAAAAGGACAAUAUUGCCAGGUUACAAUCUAUUUCACAGUAGCAAAUCAGGCUUCCCAACUCAAUGUCCAAAUGCUUUAUUUGCUUCCAACCAAAACAAAGAUCUUUGGAGAAGAUAAGGUUUUCUGUGAAAAUAUCUAAUCAAUAGUCAAAAGAGAAAAUCAAGGUUCAACAAAUACCAGAAAAAAAGAGAAAAUAACGUACCUUGUUAUAAACUCAUUACGUGCAAAAACCUGACAAGAAAGCAGUAGUUCCUAUAGAAUUGGGAAUAAAGUAGACAAGAUCAUAAAAGCCAACUAGAAAAGUUCUAAAAGCUUCAGAAACAGAAUGAGCAGGAAGACUAGAUUAUUUAGCCUACCAAGAAGAUGGAAGAAAACAUUUGUAUGAAAUGAAAAUGCAAAGUGACAGACUCAAAGCAAAUAAGAUGUUCUUCAGCAACGGACAGGCAUAGAACCUUUCAAGUACCACACACUAAUGAUGGUUUAGAAUUAAUUGAGGCAGAUUCAAUGAAUAAAAAUUGUGCCUAGUAUCCUUCACUCA